GAGAAGAAAAAGUGACUCGGGAAGUCUGUCGGCGGGUAACCAUGGCAACUCCUCAACCAUGACAGGUUGCCUGAAUGAGUGUAUAAAAUGGUCGAGUUUACGGGCAAGGAGGCAGUGAGUGAGAAAGGAAGCAACGAACAACAUCGAGAUUAGCCAUUUAGGGAUAAAAGACAGAGUAUUUGGAGGACAUCUAAACAAUAGACCGACCUUCUCUUUUUAUGCAGUGUAGUGGAAAAGCAAGACGAACAACAGUAAUAUAAUAGUCGAGCAAAACUGCAAACCGCCACCCGUCGCCUGUCUAUCGCAUACACACUUUUAAGCCUACAGUCCACAAUGAACACGCUAUCGCAAUACCUUCUUCUCAUCUGCUCGCUACUGGUUUUCAUCCAGAGCUACGCUCUCCCAACAUACGACAAACAGAACGUCGACGAACUCCAAGGCGACAAUGACAUCGAUGAACAACAGUUAGAAAUGUGGGACGCGAUGCAGGGGGGCGACAACGAUGACGUCUUCUCCCGAUUAACGAGGGGUGGAGAAGCAUUCAGCCGUGACCGACGUCGCGUUUGCGUCAGCGACUGCAGUUUCUGCCAUUCUUUCUUCCCAACCUACAAGCUCGGAAACUGCUUCCACGGGUGCAGGAAAGGAUUCCAUGAUCUGGGUUGCAAGCAGUUCCGCUAUUAAGCUCCCGCAAACUAUGUACAUUUAGGUUGAUCCUUGAGACACUUGUAACGUUCCUUUUCAGUUCGUCUAGUAUACAGUCCUUUCCUUGGCGUCCCGUGUAGCGAUGAAAGUAGCUAGUCCCUCGCAAAUGGCCCUACAAACUUGACAUAAAAUGACAUCUCUACCAAACAUAACAUGGCGUAUCAACGGAUCCGAGCCUGUUUGUAUUGAUAUCCAGCAGUUUAGAAAGAGAACAUCCACAAACGUUGGAAAAUCGCUAUUUUUCUGUACAUAAUGUAUUCUACAAAUAACUGUUUUCGCUCUUGCAUUGCCCAACAAAAAAAUUACGUGUGGUUUUAUGAGACAGAUUGAUUUUCGUCAAAUCAUGUGCUAUUUAUGUGCUGUAAAGUUGCCAUUCACAAGUUCUCUUAUCUCAUCUACAACGGUCUGUCUGGUGGACACUUCUACUUAGUAAACUAUGAAGUUGUCUAUAUUGUGUAAGUGCGAAUGUAUCUGUUAUAUAUGUUACCCAGAUAACGUUAACGUUAAAAGGGUUACCAUCGUUACUUUGCAUUUAUGUAUACAUGAUUUAAUAAAAUUCCACAAAAUCUCCAUACUGAAGCAUUUUAUUGGCCAGAAUUGUUAAAUCAAUUGAUAAUAAUAAUUAUUGUUAUUAUUAUUAUUGUUACUGCUACUAUUAUUAUUAUUUUCAUUUUGUAAUUAGUAUUGUUGUUGUUGUUGUUAGAUAGGCUGACUCGUCUUAAUUCAUAGACUUACAAUUCCCAAACGGCGCAACAUCAAUGUUGACAUUAGUAUUAUUUGUGCUCAUUUUAAAUCCUGUUUACAGUUAUUAAAAGAAUCAUUGCUCAUUCAAACAAGAAAAGUAAAAUAAUGUGAAAACACUGAUAUCCCCAAAUGUUUACAGAUGUCAAUGAUUUUUUUAAUAGUCUUUGCCAAAUUUCAUAAAGUAUUUGUAGUACGUAUUAAGAUUAUGAAAUGGUAGUAUAGAUGAAUAUUACCACAAUAAUUAGCAUUAUUAUGGUCUAUAUGCUUUAUAUUUGUAUAUGAUGUAUCAUAAUCAUUAUAUGUUGAUUUUAUUUAUUGAAUUCUUCAAUACCAAAUAAAGGGUUCAUAUUUUCAGCUCCCA